GGGUCUGCAGAAGGCAAACACACAGAGGAAGAUCAACAACCAAGUCGCCAAGGUCUGGAUCUUUGUUUGAGAGAUCAAAAUGUACCCUAUUCAAUUGGAUGAAAUUCAUCUACAGAUUUGCACAAGGGCUUCGCUUGAGGCAAAUUGAUAUGCUCAGGGAAGGGAUUACUGGAAGUUCUCGAACACUCUCCAAGAUGGCAAAAACACUGAGGAGAGUCUGUCGCCACUCAAUGAAGGCAUAUGUCAGAAGAAAGGGCCAAGUCGUUGGACGACACAGGGAAUUUGUCAUGAUUGAUGAGAGCAACUUCCGUCAUAAACGAAAGUAUGGACGAGGAAGGUUUGCACAGACAUGGGCUCGAAGAAAGUGGGUGUUCGGGAUUCUUGGAGUUUCACAAAGAAGAAGGAGGCCUAUUCUGAGACUGGUUAAGCGUAGGUCUAGACGUCACCUGGUACCCUUAAUUGAGCGGCAUGUGUAUCCUGGAAGCCAAAUCAUCAGUGACGAAUGGCGGGCUUACAGAGGCAUACUCACCAGGCUUGGCUAUCAACAUUUCUCUGUGAACCACAGUCGAUGGUUUGUGGACCCAAGAACAGGAGGCCAUACACAAAAUCUAGAGAGAGCAUGGUCUACUUUCAAAGGGAAUGUAUGGCGGAUGAGAGGG
ensembl:lncRNA